AUUGAACGCUGGCGGCACGCUUAACACAUGCAAGUCGGACGGCAGCACGAGAGGGGUACCCCUCUGGGUGGCGAGUGGCGGACGGGUGAGUAACGCGUAGGGAUCUUCCUAUUGGAGGGGGAUACGCCGUGGAAACGCGGCGUAAUACCGCAUACGCUCUGAGGAGGAAAGGUUGGGAGCUGGAAACGGCCCAAUCGCUAAUAGCUGGACCUGCGUUAGAUUAGCUAGUUGGUAGGGUAAAGGCCAACCAAGGCGAUGAUCUAUAACAGGUCUGAGAGGAUGGCCUGCCACACUAGAAUUGAGCUACGGGCCAGACUCAUAGAGGAGGCAGCAGGCGGGAAUAUCCGACACUGGGGUAAGUCCUGCUGCAGCAAUGCCGCGUGGGGGAAAAUGGUCUUCGCGGUGUGAAGCUGGUGAUUUGGGGAGGAACAGAGUUGCGUUAAAAGCGCGUCCAUGUGACGUUACCCAAAGAAUGAGCAACUGCAAACCACGUG
rnacentral:rRNA from 1 species